rnacentral:rRNA from 1 species
GUUGACCUCGGAUCAGGUAGGAAUACCCGCUGAACUUAAGCAUAUCAAUAAGCGGAGGAAAAGAAACCAACAGGGAUUGCCCUAGUAACGGCGAGUGAAGCGGCAACAGCUCAAAUUUGAAAUCUGGCUUUCGGGCCCGAGUUGUAAUUUGUAGAGGAUGAUUUUGAUGCGGUGCCUUCCGAGUUCCCUGGAACGGGACGCCAUAGAGGGUGAGAGCCCCGUCUGGUUGGAUGCCAAAUCUCUGUAAAUCUCCUUCGACGAGUCGAGUAGUUUGGGAAUGCUGCUCUAAAUGGGAGGUAUAUGUCUUCUAAAGCUAAAUACCGGCCAGAGACCGAUAGCGCACAAGUAGAGUGAUCGAAAGAUGAAAAGCACUUUGAAAAGAGAGUUAAAAAGUACGUGAAAUUGUUGAAAGGGAAGCGUUUAUGACCAGACUUGGGCUUGGUUAAUCAUCUGGGGUUCUCUCCAGUGCACUUUUCCAGCCCAGGCCAGCAUCAGUUUUCGCCGGGGGAUAAAGACUUCGGGAAUGUGGCUCCCCUCGGGGAGUGUUAUAGCCCGUUGUGUAAUACCCUGGUGGGGACUGAGGUUCGCGCCUUCUGCAA